UCCUCAGUGUCGGGGGAGCGGGAGCAGGGGCGCGACACUCACUGUUGUUCAUCAGCUUGAUGUGCGGCCAGUCUCUCUCUGUGCAAAGUGUGGAGAACACCAGCACCUGUCUCUCAGGGUUGUCAGGAGGCUCGAAGGACCAACACAAGCAAAGCAGGGCGGCCAGGGAGCUCUGCCCCACCCCGCCCCUCCGCACACGCUGGGACCCUCCCUGCCCAGCUUCUAUCUUUUCCCAAGGAGGGGAACUGAUUCCAAGGACAGCGCCCACCUCACAACUGGAGGGACGGUGCUGGACGCAUACACGGCAUCAGAGAGCGCUCGGGGACGCCUCCCACAGGUGUGCAGAGGUGGCAGGCCAUUCGACUUCAUCACCAACACGAGGAGCUGAAGUCACCACCACCUUUGGACCCGCAGCCCCUCCCUGUGCCUGCCCCAGACCUGGUUAGAGAGGGCUCCUACCUCACCACCGCAGCCCCAGAGCCCUCCCCCUGGACGCCUACAGCUUGGCUGCACUGCGCCUUCUCUGCACCUUGCUGUACUCAUUCUGUAUUGUAUUUUAAAAUUCUCUUAUGUGAUUUUAUAUAUGAUAUUGUAUUAGGUUUGUGUGUGUGUGUGAAAGAGAGAGCUACAGAGACUGGGGAGGGAAGGAGAGAGAGAGAGACAGAGACACAAGGUAGAUCUUCAGAGUUAAAUUGGUGCUGAGUUGGGGAGGGGACAACAGAUUGGGGUCAAGGGAAGCCCUGGGGAUUUGGAUGGGACGGGGGGCCAGCGAGGAACUCUGUUUCCAGGGUAGAGGAAAGAACGUAUUUCAAUAGAAAACUAUGGUCUGUGUAGAGGUCAAAGAACCUCCAGUUUAUCUGCGCCUAGCCUCUCACUGUCUUUAAGCUGUUUGAACUCUGUAGUUGAAGGCAGCUGACGACACCGCGAGGUCACUGUUGUCUCUAAGUGCGCAUGUCCCGGACUGUCCAGGAACGGGUCAACUGUCUGCCCUCCCACCCUGCGAAAAGGCCAGUUCUGCCUGCAUUUAUUUACAUAUUCUUUCCAAUAUUCCUCAUCUAUAAAUGGGUCUGCCCUGUGGAUUCGCUUUUGAACUGGUUAUAACAUCUCCUGGACUCUCAGGAGUUCAAUAAAACUUUUAAAACAUGUUAAAUUUUAUAUCUGUUUCAGAGCCAUGAUUGUAGCAUUUUGUUGAGAAUUAUCUUGGAACAGUUUUCUGAAAACUUAGGAGGGAGCAGCUAGAAGGUGACUCAGGGAAGUGGGGGUGAGUGACCUGGACACCCUUGCGUGGGAAAGGAAGUAGGUGAUGGGAUCAGGGCACCUAGGUCAUCUAAAUCUCCAUAGAAACGCGCCUCUAUUUGGCUCACUGUUUAUUAUUGAUUAGGGCUUAGACUCUGAAAUUGAAUAUUAAUUUGUAGAUGUUCCAAGUGACUUUAGCCUGCUCCAGAUGCAAAUGAUUUCUAUCCACCAAGAAAUAUACCUCCCCAAGGAUUUAUUGUCCUAUAAGAAGACAUCAUCUGAUUUUGCAAUCUUAUUUCAACAUCCUUUCUUCUCCCCUGCCUG